rnacentral:SRP_RNA from 1 species
GCCAGGCGUGGGGGUGCGUGCCUGUGUUCCCAACUACUCAGGAGGGUGAGGCGGGAGGAUUGCUUGAGCCCAGGAGUUCGAGACUGCAGUGAACUGUGACUCCACCACUGCACUCCAGCCUGGGCAACAGAGCAAGACUCUGUCUCAU